UAAGCACAUACCUCAGACAAGCAGCAGAGAAGAAAUCCAUUUAAGAAAAGAUGCUGAAAGAGCUUGCUGUCCACCUGGAAAAUUUCUUGUGCUAAGAUGUAGCCGAAAAGAUCAGGAUCCAGCUUCCAGACCCCAUGAAGCAUGAAGCAGAGGGAACACUCCACUGGCUUGCUCAGGCCAGCAGUGCCUCUCCUACACUUGACCUAGACUGCCUUACAUAAUGAGGAAUCAGUGCUGUAUCCUGUGUGGAGGAGCGAGCUGAAUGUCAUCACUGGCAGAAGUAGGGAGAACUGGCAGCAGGCAGGCUGGUAGUUAGCAUGGAGAUCACGAAGUCCGCUUUCUCUGAGUGUUCUGGGAGAAAACACAAGAACAGCUCAGAAAUGCUGCUGUCAUUCCUUCCCUGGAACAAGUGACCGGAAGGAGCAAGGGUGUUACAAACGUGAGGCAGACAGCAAGUGCUAAAGCUGCAUCUGCACCUGCUAUCAAGGUAACCGAGUUCCUGUCACACUCCGUCUAGAAGAAUGCACAGCUACAGCUAAUAGGAGAGCAAGAGCAAGGCACAGUAAGGAAGGAGAGACACAGACUGCUGCUGCAUACAUUUGUCUAUAUAUUGCUCAUUGUGGCAAGCACUAUGAUAUGUCUGUUUCACUGUGCAACAGCUCCCACUGAUCAGCAAGGAAAAAUAAAAUAUGCUAAGUAACAGACUGCAUGCUGUAUCAGAGCCACAACCUCGUUCUGCUCAGAGAAUGAGAGAUGGGAACCAUCCUCCACUGAAAAUGAUGUUGCUAAUGCAGAUGUUGGUUAAGGAGGAAGACUGCAAGUCAGCUGUGUCUUCCAUAAAGGCAAAUAACUUCCAG